CACGCUUCCGGGAUUGUGUUACGGAGCCUUGCAACCGUCCAUAUUUCAGACAUAGGUUGUAAUUGCAGAAGCACGGUGCCGGUAACAUGUUGGUUGGUAGCAGGAAAUACCGAACUGUUGGCGGCAGUCAGUAAAGCGAGAAUUGGACUAUGGUGUGGUAGUGCUUAUUGGACAUGGUAGCAAAGAACCGGUUCGCGCACGUAGAGGAUUGAAGUUACCGAUAGAAGCGGUAAACGGAACUUGAAGAAUGACGACUAUACCCACCGUUUCCGAGGAACUGCUUUAUUUAUACCAAUCUCCGGCUAUGGCGGCGAUGAAUGUGCGCACUGCGAUGCUGAUGAUUUAGAGAAGCAAGAUAAAAUAAAGGCCAGCACGACAUAACAAUACCGAAAUCACCCCUCAAGCUCAAUGCUUGUUCCGCGACGACUACGUUCCGGCCAUAAGGGUCGAUCAAACACGUGAGCAAGAAAGGGCUGCAAUGUGUACGAAGUACUUGGCUAAGGGCCAGACACUCAUGGCUACUGAGACCUUCGCAGACUGCUCGUUUUCUUGCUACACUGACCCCUCGUCUUCAUUUGUCCUUAAUGAAAAGGACGGUACACCCUGCGACUACGGAGAUCCCUCAAUGAAAUGCCUGAACGGGACCUGCGUCAAAGAGGUACUGCCACCAACGGAAACAUAUCAGAAGGAAAAAGAUCAGAAGGAAGAAAAUCAGAAGAGCAGCCCAUUGACUAACCACGCAUCUUGCAUUAAAUAUUUGGAUGCUUGCGGAUUUGUGCAGCGCUAACACACAUGUGCUUUGUAGUUGUGUAGUUGUACGCUAAUAAGUCCUACAAAGAAGCCUUAUAGCAGUCAUUUUUCAGUUCUGCCUUCCUUACUAGUGUAUCGAAAUUCCGCCUACACAAUCGCA